GUUUCUGUGAGUGUGAGUGUGUGUGUCUGUGAAUAUAUAUAUAUACGUAUAUAUAUAUAUGUAUAUAUAUGUGUAUAUAUAUGUAUAUAUAUAUACACACACACACACACACACACACACGCGCGGCGUG